AGAGUUUGAUCAUGGCUCAGGAUGAACGCUAGCGGGAGGCCUAACACAUGCAAGCCGAGCGGUAGAGUAUCUUCGGAUACUUGAGAGCGGCGCACGGGUGCGGAACACGUGUGCAACCUGCCUUUAUCUGGGGGAUAGCCUUUCGAAAGGAAGAUUAAUACCCCAUAAUAUAUUUGAUGGCAUCAUUAGAUAUUGAAAACUCCGGUGGAUAGAGAUGGGCACGCGCAAGAUUAGUUAGUUGGUGAGGUAACGGCUCACCAAGGCGAUGAUCUUUAGGGGGCCUGAGAGGGUGAUCCCCCACACUGGUACUGAGACACGGACCAGACUCCUACGGGAGGCAGCAGUGAGGAAUAUUGGACAAUGGGUUAGCGCCUGAUCCAGCCAUCCCGCGUGAAGGACGACGGCCCUAUGGGUUGUAAACUUCUUUUGUAUAGGGAUAAACCUACUCUCGUGAGAGUAGCUGAAGGUACUAUACGAAUAAGCACCGGCUAACUCCGUGCCAGCAGCCGCGGUAAUACGGAGGGUGCAAGCGUUAUCCGGAUUUAUUGGGUUUAAAGGGUCCGUAGGCGGAUCUGUAAGUCAGUGGUGAAAUCUCAUAGCUUAACUAUGGAACUGCCAUUGAUACUGCAGGUCUUGAGUAAAUUUGAAGUGGCUGGAAUAAGUAGUGUAGCGGUGAAAUGCAUAGAUAAUACUUAGAACACCAAUUGCGAAGGCAGGUCACUAAGAUUUAACUGACGCUGAUGGACGAAAGCGUAGGAGCGAACAGGAUUAGAUAUCCUGGUAGUCC
rnacentral:rRNA from 1 species